AGGGAGACAAAACAAUGAUUUUGAUGUCUGAGUAAUUUAUUCUUAGGCCGAAAUCCUGUCACCUUAGGUCGAUCGGUACCUCAACAUUUUUUCAAAGAAUGAUGAGCAAUCAUCAAGAGAUUGAAAGAGAUGUUCAGUUCCUAAACUUUGUCUAGGCCACACCCCGCAAGGGAAGAGUCCCCUGGGCCAUUAGCUCAGGUGGUUAGAGCGCACCCCUGAUAAGGGUGAGGUCCCUGGUUCAAGUCCAGGAUGGCCCAUUCGGUGUUGGGGGUUUAGCUCAGUUGGUAGAGCGCCUGCUUUGCAAGCAGGAUGUCAGGAGUUCGAGUCUCCUAACCUCCACUGACCGAACUCAAUCUCCAUUGUCCAGUUACCCGGAGGAUGAACUCGAGGGAAUGUGAUUUAGAUGUGUCCACUAGAUUGGACCCCAGCUUCCUGUCAUGCCAGAUAAGCAAUUUUUGCUUGAUUGGUUGAUAAGAUGCUGGGCUCAGAUUAAUCGAAAGAUUAAUUUGAUGUCUAGUAGAACCUUGACAACUGCAUAGGUAAGUCUGGAAAAACAAAGCAUCUUACAGAUGCAUUGUUUUAAGCCUGAAUUCUUGAAAGAGAAUUUAGAAUUAGAACAAUGAAAAUUCUUUUGAGCAAGAGCCGAGACUCUUAGAUGUUCUUUGAUUCGUGUCGAGCGAAUCAGAGUUUGAUUUUGUUUUUAUGAGCAACGAAAGUUGUUGAUGAAACCAGAAGAAUCUGCUUUCAACCGCAGUAAGCGUUUAAGAGGUUAAUU
rnacentral:tRNA from 1 species